rnacentral:rRNA from 1 species
UGGGGAAUCUUGCGCAAUGGGCGAAAGCCUGACGCAGCAACGCCGCGUGCGGGAUGAAGGCCUUCGGGUUGUAAACCGCUUUCAGCAGGGACGAAAUUGACGGUACCUGCAGAAGAAGCCCCGGCCAACUACGUGCCAGCAGCCGCGGUAAUACGUAGGGGGCGAGCGUUGUCCGGAUUUAUUGGGCGUAAAGAGCUCGUAGGCGGUUGGGUAAGUCGGGUGUGAAAACUCAGGGCUCAACUCUGAGACGCCACUCGAUACUGCUCUGACUCGAGUCCGGUAGGGGAGCGUGGAAUUCCCGGUGUAGCGGUGAAAUGCGCAGAUAUCGGGAGGAACACCAGUGGCGAAGGCGGCGCUCUGGGCCGGAACUGACGCUGAGGAGCGAAAGCGUGGGUAGCAAACAG